rnacentral:rRNA from 1 species
UACAGAGGGGGCAAGCGUUGUUCGGAAUUACUGGGCGUAAAGCGUGCGUAGGCGGUUCGUUAAGUUCGUUGUGAAAGCCCCGGGCUCAACCUGGGAAUGGCAAUGGAAACUGGCGGGCUAGAGUGUGGCAGAGGGGGGUGGAAUUCCACGUGUAGCAGUGAAAUGCGUAGAGAUGUGGAGGAACACCGAUGGCGAAGGCAACCCCCUGGGCUGACACUGACGCUCAGGCACGAAAGCGUGGGGAGCAAACAGG